GCUGGGUGUGGUGGCACACGUCUGUAGUCCCAGCUACUUGGGAGGCUGAGGCAGGAGAAUCGCUCGAACCCGGGAGGCAGAGAUUGCAGUGAGCGGAGAUUGCGCCACUGCACUUCAGCCUGGGUGACAGAGCGAGACUCUGUCUCAA
rnacentral:SRP_RNA from 1 species